GGAUCGAUGAUGACAACAAGUCUCUGAGGACGCUGAUAGACCUGUACUAUGCCGCUAUGAGCUCC
rfam:Mesocricetus auratus contig197540, whole genome shotgun sequence.